rnacentral:misc_RNA from 1 species
GAUGAAGAACGCAGCGAAAUGCGAUAAGUAGUGUGAAUUGCAGAAUUCAGUGAAUCAUCGAAUCUUUGAACGCACAUUGCGCCCCUUGGUAUUCCAUGGGGCAUGCCUGUUCGAGCGUCAUUUGUACCUUCAAGCUCUGCUUGGUGUUGGGUGUUUGUCUCGCCUCUGCGCGCAGACUCGCCUCAAAACAAUUGGCAGCCGGCGUAUUGAUUUCGGAGCGCAGUACAUCUCGCGCUUUGCACUCAUAACGACGACGUCCAAAAGUACAUUUUUACACUCUUGACCUCGGAUCAGGUAGGGAUACCCGCUGAACUUAAGCAUAUCAAUAAGCGGAGGA